GCCUGAGUGGUUCAGUCGGUUAAGCGUCUGACUUCGGCUCAGAUCAUGAUCUCGUGCUUCGUGAGUUCGAGCCCCACGUCGGGCU
rfam:Felis catus isolate Cinnamon breed Abyssinian chromosome F2, whole genome shotgun sequence.